rnacentral:lncRNA from 1 species
UUCAACUUCUGGUAUGUUGCUGAAAGGAAGAUGAAAAGCAUCCAAGAGGAAGACGUAUAAUCGAUUCAAAGUUAGUACUAAUCUGCCUUAUUAUUUUUCCAGUUUUGUUUUGCCCUAAUUUCCCCACCCACUUCUUGCAUUCUUUGAAACUUACCGUCUCCUACAUAAACAUAAACACAUAAUUGGUUCGAUUUUUCAAUAUUUAUGGAGUAUUUGCAUUCCACUUUGACAUUUUUGACUCUGCCACCUCCAUUCAAAGUUACCCCUCUCCUAUUAGCUCGAUAUAUAUAUAUAUAUAUGUAUGUAAGUUUAUAUGUAAAUAUAGUAGCCAGAUAGCUUGAAUUGUAGGCAAAAAAUUAUUGUGGUAUCUAUAUUUGUGUUCUUGUAAAAUAUUCAACAAUAUAAAGUUUGAAUUUACAUGUUUGAACAGGAAAAUUGUGAAAAUUAAUAGUUUGACUAGUUAAUGAAACAGGUAUAAUCCCUUUUAUUUACCCCAAAAAGUUGAACGAACUAUAGAAUGACUGAUGUGUGCAAUGAAGUCAUGAUCAUAAAAACAAGAAAAACAAUCGGCCAUCAUCGGUACUAUACAACAUUUUAAAAAAAAAAUCUUGGUAAAAAUUGAGAAGUAUAUUUACGGAAAGAUAGUGUUACAGUAAGAAGGUCAUUUGAAUCUUUGUUGUGUUCAUUUUAUCAUUUAUAUAAUCUAAAUUUGAUAGUUAAACAUAAAGGAUUCAAUUUAUACAAUCCCUGAGUUUAUAAGUAAUCAUUUGAAACACUACCAAGAAUAAUAUGAAAUGCAGAAUCUUACAGUAAUCAAGCUAAUAAAAAAAAAGGUUGUAAUGAACAAGUUGUUAGAGAGGUGUUCCUUGAUGCUUUGACCAGGCUUUACGUGUUAUUCAAUAGUCCAUGUUUAUAGUUAAAUGUAAAUCUGUCAAUCAAGUUAAAGAUUUGAAUAUUAUGGAACACAAUAGAUUUGAUAAAUAGAAUAUCUGAAACUGAGUUUCUCAUGAAGACUAAAUACACUACGUAUAUGAUCUCUAUUUGAGUUUGGAGCUUGUAAUGUGUGUCUUUAAGUAUCACUAUGGUUUUUGUUACUUUGAAUAGGAAUACUUUGUUGGAGUGCAGAAAUUGAAUUUGUGCAUGUGGGUGAGGUAGACUACACAAGUACUUUAUGUUCCUCACAUUAUUUGUUUGAUGUUUCCAUUCAUGUACUUUUAUUUAUUUUUAUUAUAUUUUCUUCUUGAAUGCUAUGUAAGAGAUUCUCUUAUUGUUUUCUCAUUUUUGUUGAUAUGUUACAUACUUGGCCUAUGAUUUUUUAUCUAAUUUUUUUAUUCUCAAACACUUCCACAGUCAAUGAUAGUUGGGCUAUUGACAAUUUAAAGAUGGAUACAGUAAAAAUUGCGAUUUGGGAAAUGUGGAAUUUUUUUAUGAUGGUAGUAAUUCAUCAGGUAAGAACAAGACAACUACUACUACUGUUUGUUUUGUGCCUUUAUCUAGAUUCCAUGAAUAUAAAGCGUAAACGUCGUAGGGAAGAAUCUAGUAAGGAACAUUGCAUGUCCCAACAGAGAGUAAGAGAUGGAUUUGAAGGAGAUGGUCCUAUGCCAAAAGUCGAAGCACUAUCUCACAGUAAGGCUACUUCAAAACCGCUGAAGAAUACGUUUCCAUCUUAGCCAUUGAGAAAGUUGCGAAUACGGUCAAUGAUGGUAACAAGGAGAUAAUCAAUGCCUUCGCUAAUGCGACUGUAACAAUGUCAAAUGCCAUUUCAACUUCACAACAGUGUAUCCACUCACCAUCAGAAAUUUAUGCUGAAUUGAUUCAAAUGAAGCUUGAGCACCCCUUCCUUGAUGAAGCCUAUUUUUGGCUGGCGGAUAAUGAGAAGAUGGUCAAGUUACUUUUUGGGUUUCCACCUGAGAGGUGCAAAGAUGCUUUACAAAGUAUGAUGAAUUCGUCAAAGGGUUGUUGAUGGGUUUCUACUUGAGUUAGAAUUUCAUAUUUUUUGUUGUUUCCAUUUGGAAACGUAUAUAUGGGUUUUCACUCGAGUUAGGAUUUCCAUUCAAGUGAUGUUUUUUUGUUAUACGAAUGGGAAUUACAAUCUUGAAUUCUACUUUUUGUUAAAACAUGUAUACAUAC